rnacentral:rRNA from 1 species
UACGUAGGGUGCGAGCGUUAAUCGGAAUUACUGGGCGUAAAGCGUGCGCAGGCGGUUUUGUAAGCCAGAUGUGAAAUCCCCGGGCUUAACCUGGGAAUGGCAUUUGGGACUGCAAGGCUGGAGUGUGGCAGAGGAGACUGGAAUUCCUGGUGUAGCAGUGAAAUGCGUAGAUAUCUGGAGGAACACCGGUGGCGAAGGCGGCAUCCUGGACCAAUUCUGACGCUGAGUGAGCGAAAGCCAGGGGAGCAAACGGG